rnacentral:rRNA from 1 species
GACGAACGCUGGCGGCGUGCUUAACACAUGCAAGUCGAACGGAAAGGCCCUGCUUUUGUGGGGUGCUCGAGUGGCGAACGGGUGAGUAACACGUGAGUAACCUGCCCUUGACUUUGGGAUAACUUCAGGAAACUGGGGCUAAUACCGGAUAGGAGCUCCUGCUGCAUGGUGGGGGUUGGAAAGUUUCGGCGGUUGGGGAUGGACUCGCGGCUUAUCAGCUUGUUGGUGGGGUAGUGGCUUACCAAGGCUUUGACGGGUAGCCGGCCUGAGAGGGUGACCGGCCACAUUGGGACUGGGAUACGGCCCAGACUCCUACGGGAGGCAGCAGUGGGGAAUAUUGCACAAUGGGCGGAAGCCUGAUGCAGCAACGCCGCGUGCGGGAUGACGGCCUUCGGGUUGUAAGCCGCUUUCGCCUGUGACGAAGCGUGAGUGACGGUAAUGGGUAAAGAAGCACCGGCUAACUACGUG